CAGAGACAAAAAACCUACGUGCUGGGCAGACCUUCACGAAAGACUUAAUAGCAUUUUAUCCCAGUGGAAUAACUGCCAUCAACGUCAUUCCACCAACCGGUGCUAAUGUGGGUGCAAUGGUUACUGUAAAUGGUACCACGGCCUCGGUUAACAUAACCUGGACUCCGGCCCCUGCACAGCACGGACACCACCUGAUUUGUUAUCAAGCCUUUGGCGCUAAUAGAUGUCCUGGACCGUACCUAUGUGACAAACUUGUAGUAG